GCCCCGGUAGCUCAGUGGAUAGAGCGUCCGCCUCCUAAGCGGAAGGUCCCACGUUCGAGUCGUGGUCGGGGCACCA
rnacentral:tRNA from 1 species